GCCGGGGUGGCCGAGCUUGGUCCAAGGCGCGGGACUGGAGAUCCCGUCCCCGCAAGGGGGCCCGGGUUCAAAUCCCGGCCCCGGCAUCA
rnacentral:tRNA from 1 species